GGACAACCUGCCCUCGGGAGGGGGAUAACCCCGGGAAACUGGGGCUAAACCCCCAUAGGGGAUGGAUACUGGAAUGUUCCAUCUCCGAAAGUCCGCAAGGAGCCCGAGGAUGGGUCUGCGGCGGAUUAGGUAGUUGGUGGGGUAACGGCCCACCAAGCCUAAGAUCCGUACGGGCCAUGGGAGUGGGAGCCCGGAGAUGGACCCUGAGACAAGGGUCCAGGCCCUACGGGGCGCAGCAGGCGCGAAACCUCCGCAAUGCGGGAAACCGCGACGGGGUCAGCCGGAGUGCCGAUGCUUGCAUCGGCUGUCGGGGAGCCUAAAAAGCUCUCCAAGCAAGGGCCGGGCAAGGUCGGUGGCAGCCGCCGCGGUAAUACCGGCGGCCCGAGUGGCGGUCACUAUUAUUGGGCUUAAAGCGUCCGUAGCCGGGUUGGUUAGUCUCCCGGGAAAUCUGGCCGCUCAACGGUCAGAAUUCCGGGAGAUACUGCCAGCCUAGGGACCGGGAGAGGCCGAGGGUAUUCCCGGAGUAGGGGUGAAAUCCUAUAAUCCCGGGAGGACCACCUGUGGCGAAGGCGCUCGGCUGGAACGGGUCCGACGGUGAGGGACGAAGGCCAGGGGAGCGAACCGGAUUAGAUACCCGGGUAGUCCUGGCUGUAAACGAUGCGGACUUUGUGUCGGACAAGCUAUGAGCUUGUCCGGUGCCGGAGGGAAACCGUU
rnacentral:rRNA from 1 species